UACGUAGGGUGCGAGCGUUAAUCGGAAUUACUGGGCGUAAAGUGUGCGCAGGCGGCCGCGCAAGUCGAGUGUGAAAUCCCCGAGCUUAACUUGGGAAUUGCGCUCGAAACUACGUGGCUGGAGUGUGGCAGAGGAAGGUGGAAUUCCACGUGUAGCGGUGAAAUGCGUAGAGAUGUGGAGGAACACCGAUGGCGAAGGCAGCCUUCUGGGCCAACACUGACGCUCAUGCACGAAAGCUGGGGGAGCAAACCGG
rnacentral:rRNA from 1 species